rnacentral:rRNA from 1 species
GAUGAACGCUGGCGGCGUGCCUAACACAUGCAAGUCGAACGGAAAGGCCCUGCUUUUGUGGGGUUCUCGAUUGGCGAACGCGUGUGUAAAACGUGAGUAACCUGCCCUUGUCUUUGGGGUAACUUCAGGAAACUGGGGCUAAUACCGGAUAGGAUCUCCUGCUGCAUGGGGGGGGUUGGAAAGUUUCGGCGGUUGGGGCUGGACUCGCGGUUUAUCAGCUUGUUGGGGGGGUAGGUGCUUACCAAGGCUUUGACGGGUAGCCGGCCUGAGAGGGUGACCGGCCACAUAGGGAUAGGGAUACGACCAGGAGGGAAACGGGAGGAAGGGGUGGGGACCAGUCCGCGAUGGGCGGAGGCAGGGAGGAGCAACGCCGCGUGGGGGAUGACGGCUUUCGGGUAGUAACCCGCGUUCGCGUGUGACGAAGCGUGAGGAACGGAAAUGGUGAAAGAAGCACCGCCAAAUUAGGG